rnacentral:rRNA from 1 species
GGCUUAGAGUUUGAUCAUGGCUCAGGAUGAACGCUAGCUACAGGCUUAACACAUGCAAGUCGAGGGGCAGCAUGAUUGAAGCUUGCUUCAAUUGAUGGCGACCGGCGCACGGGUGAGUAACACGUAUCCAACCUGCCGAUGACUCUGGGAUAGCCUUUCGAAAGAAAGAUUAAUACCGGAUGGCAUAAUUCUUCCGCAUGGUAGAAUUAUUAAAGAAUUUCGGUCGUCGAUGGGGAUGCGUUCCAUUAGGUUGUUGGCGGGGUAACGGCCCACCAAGCCAUCGAUGGAUAGGGGUUCUGAGAGGAAGGUCCCCCACAUUGGAACUGAGACACGGUCCAAACUCCUACGGGAGGCAGCAGUGAGGAAUAUUGGUCAAUGGACGAGAGUCUGAACCAGCCAAGUAGCGUGAAGGAUGACUGCCCUAUGGGUUGUAAACUUCUUUUAUACGGGAAUAUAGUGCAGUAUGCAUACUGUUUUGUAUGUACCGUAUGAAUAAGGAUCGGCUAACUCCGUGCCAGCAGCCGCGGUAAUACGGAGGAUCCGAGCGUUAUCCGGAUUUAUUGGGUUUAAAGGGAGCGUAGGCGGAUGCUUAAGUCAGUUGUGAAAGUUUGCGGCUCAACCGUAAAAUUGCAGUUGAUACUGGGUGUCUUGAGUACAGUAGAGGCAGGCG